GGGAAGGCAGGAGGAGGGACUUCUUUUCGGACGAUCUGUGAGAGCAAAGCAGACAAGAUGUAGGCAGGGGACUGAUAGUUCUGGUGGCGGAAUCCACCACUGGAAGAUUUCGAACAUAGAAUAGUUGAUGAAUUUAGGAUGAUAGAGUCCGUGCCCAGCGAUUGUGUGAUCUGUUGAUUCUAAACUAAGAUUGUCGGGUGUAUUCCAUUCUGCAACGAUUCAACUGAGCGCCAGUGAAAGAUUUGUGUUUUCUAAAAAAAAAAAAAAAAAAAAAAGAAAGAAAGAAAGAGGGAAGAGAAGAGAAGAGAAGAGAAGAGAAGAGAAGAGAAGAGAAGAGAAGAGAAGAACAGUGAUAUCUUUGAUAGAGGCUUGGUAUCAGUGAGGUGGAAGGAGAUGCCUCUGCAGACCCAUGCUGAGGCAUUCCUUCCUCCUGAGGUACCAGCCACACAAGAGUAUUAACCACUCUCUGGGACUUCGGAGGAGCCAUCUUCUGCCUGAUUGUGACACCUGCCCCGUGAUUCCUCCUUCUGUCCAUUCCAACCCAGCAGGUCCAGAGUUUUCACAGACAUAUACUUGCUAGACAUCAUUAAUGCAAGCAGCUCACCAUGCUCUGACCACUCAGUAUGAGGAGUAUAAAGUCCUUUCAUAUCUGCUAUCACCCAGAAAGACUGCAGUUAUUUCCCGUUAAUCUCUAUCAAGAGCAAACCUGUUUCCGAAGCACAUUCUCAACCUGGCUCCUUGCUCCUCAGGGUUAUUCUCUCGUUCUGGCUGAAAUGUCAUUGUCUUGCGGGUAGUCUUGAUGUCUUUUUGCACAAAUGUGAAUUUUCCCUUCCUGAGUAUCACGUAAUUUUGAUUGUAUUUCACCAGGUAUGUAUUUUACUUCAAAAUGAUCCAAACUUAUAUUUUAACCAAACACGGGGGAAUUUCAUUGCUGCCACAUCUAGCAGACGGCACAAAAUAGCACCUGGUUGGAGGAACUAAUUAGGGAUGUUUCUGCACAACGAAUCAGAAGAAUGAAAAGACGUGGAAACCUCUCCUGUCUGAAAUUCAAGCUCACACUCCUGUCCUCUGUUCCUUUCCUUAAAGCUCCACUGGAUGCGGGACUAUUUUUCAAAAUUAAAGUGACCAACACUGGAGAUAAAGUAGUUGGGAUUAAACCUGAAGGCUUAUUUCACCACACUAAAGGAAAGAAAGACCACUGUAUUGUGUCUUACGAAGGCCAUGGUAGGAGGAUGGAGUGUCUGCUGAUCUAUAUGAACAAGGAGCGGCUGGAAAACCAGAAACGUAACUUCUGGAAGUUGGAGCUAUCCAUCUGGCUUACUUACUGAGAACUGUAGGCACCCGCACUGCAAGCAUUAUUUAUAUACUAAGUAAUGCAUUUAAGAUUUAUGAGGAAUGAGAAGUCACACCACACCUAGAAGGGUGUGAACACGGAAUGCCUGCACUCAGGGAGAGAUCUGCGUCAGCUGUAUUUUUGAUCAAAAGUUGUUCCCAUAGUGACAACACUCUCCCCCUUAUCAGUAUUUCUUCUUGUUACUUGGUUACCAAAAUAUGAAAUGAAUACUGAAUGCAGGUCAUGAGCAUGAGAGCGAAUAUAAAGCUAACUAGUUAUCUAGGUCUAACUCUGUCAUGAUUUUUCUUUAUAUUUUUGGUGGUGGUUAAAUACAUAAAUAUAUUCAGUGGUCUAAGUAUAGAACCCAAUAUGAAGCCCACAGCCUCCAAAUGCCUAUUGUAACUUCCCAGAAGUUCACUGAGGUAUACAAACCUUAGGUCUAAUAAAUUCACUGUGUAAUUUUUUUAUUUACAUAAUUGUUAAAAUAAAAUUUAUUAAAAUGUA
rnacentral:lncRNA from 1 species